UGGGGGGGUGGGGAGGGGGUGGUGCAUAGGAAGCGUCCUCAAAUCUGGUGUGAUUUUAUAGGUCAAGUCGGUUUCCAACGGGAGACAACUAUUUCCUUCUCUCCGGUCACACCUCAUCCUCCCUCUGUCAGUCCUGGCCAAAGGAAGCCACAGCCAGGCCUGGCAGGCUCCCCCUCUGCUCCCCUCCACUGCUCAGUUCCUGUUCCUGCAGGCCUUGGAGCCCCCAGCAGAUGGACUGCCCUUAUCAGCAGGCUCCAGGCCAGAGGAGGAAUCCUCCGGUCACAUGCAGCUCUCUGGAGGGAGAGAGGCCUUGUAAAUAAACACAGCCUAUGCAGAGGAAAGGGGAGGCGGGGAGGUUGAGGGAAAAGAAUCCUUGAAAUUUUGGUGACUGGGCCAGGAUUAAAGGCCACCACACAUAACCCUUAUUAGCCAUUUCUGUGAGGAAUCGACACACCAUGCACCGUCCCCGGAAAGAAAUGCGUGCAGGCCUUUAAAUAGCCCUUGGAGCUGGGGUGUUCCCACUAUGCUGCUGGCUUGAUUUAGGCCUAAUCCUCGCCCAGGACUGACCCUUCACAGUUUACAGAGCACUUUAUCCCUGGGCUCUGUGGAGUCGCACAGAGCUCUCCCCGGAGCAGGGAGGUGUAUCAUCAUCCCAAUUUACAAAUGAGGAAACUGAGGCUCGGAUUAUGAGUGACUCACUUCUGCACAGCUGGCAGUGAUCGAGUCCGGCCGUGACUCUAUACGUGAGAUCCAUGAUGUCCUGAUGCCAAGUCCAGAGAGAUCUGCCCAUCACACCCCAGUGUCUUCCACCAUGGCUCUUCCUGUGUGCCCUAUGUCGAGCUUCGUGCUCUGGCUGCACCCCAUUUCUCCCCAGGGAAGCCCAUGUUUCGGGGAAGAGGGAAGGUAGAAUAAAUGAAUCUCAACAUAGCUGUGCUCAGUGAGUGAAGCCACUCGAAAAAGAGGAUAUACUCUAUCACUCCGUUUAUACAGAACUGUAGAAAAUGCUGAUCUAUGGGGACAGAAAGCAGAUGGGUGUCUGUUUGGAGAAGGGAGCCACGAAGAAACCUUUGGGGCGAUGGAUAUGUUCGCUGUCUUGGUGGUGCUAUGGUUCGCAGGUCCAUCCAUAAGGAAUUGUGCCUUCAAGUACAUGCGGUUUAUCGUAUGUCAGUUAUACCCCCAUAAAGCUACUUAAAAAGAGGAAGAUAAGAGAAAAAAAGAAUGGAGGAGGUUGGCAGGCAUAUCGUAAAGAAGUCUGAGAAAUUUUAAAACGGAGACACAAAGUUCCCCAGGCACAUGGGGAAGAAGAGAGCGAUUCUUCCCCCAAUUGGAGAGAUCCGGGAAGAGUUUUUGGAGCAGGUGUCUGACCUGGCUCAAGGUCUGGAUAAGGAGGUGUUAGGUUAAGAAAGAUCAGGGUGCAGUAUGCAGGUAGAGUGUGCUUGGGGCAGAGGGAGUGGAGUACUCUCCCUAGCCACCCCCACCCCACUUUCUUCCCAGUCCUUAGAGGCUUGAGGCUAAAGCUAACAGCUGCGAUUUCCUUUUCUUCAGAAAUUCGGACACACGCCCAACUUGGCAGGCAGCUGGUUUUGCUAAUAAGAUUCCUGCCCUCCACCUUCCCCACCGUGCAGCUCAUCCCUUGGGUCUAUUGAGACCCCUGCCCUCUCCAGUUUCCUAUCUGAACUGAACUGCCAAAUGCUGGCUGACUGGGCCACUGACAACCAUAGCUCCCAGAGUCCUGGGCAACCUCAUUUCAACCUCUUCUAAAUCCUACCAAAAGGAGGUUUGGGGCGAUCGGGCUGGGAGUAUGAUGGGAUUCCAGGUCCAAAAUGAAAAUACCUUUUUUUCUCUUCCAUACCCUUUAGUAUUAUGCUUUAGUAAUAGACAUGUGGCCACUGGAGAAUUUUGAAUAAUGAGUUUAUUAUGAAAAUGUUAUCAUAAAGCAGUAGGAAAUUCAAGAAUCGUUACAGGGCAGUACACUGAUUAACUGGUUCAUUUGCUCCCCAAACAGAAUUCCGGCCAUUGGUCUUACAGUUUGUAAAACAUUAACUUGGGUUUGGAUGAUCCCACUAUUCAUGUCUUUACAGAAGGGACUAUUCCAAUGACAUAUGAAACCCACAUAUGAAAUUGUGGGCUAGUUCUUUCUUUUUAAUUUCCUUGGCAUGCUUGUUGAUUUUAAAUUGCCCCCUUUUCCAAAGUUUCCUUAUUAAUUAAAUAAACCAGGCAGCCACAUUCCCUGCCUCUAAUUCAGCACUCGAAUGUAAGCUUAGUUCUGGAGUCGGCUUUCCAACCUUGGCUUAAGGGACAUUAGUCACUCAGAGCAGAAUGUAGCAUUUGAACAGCUGUUUCAGGCUUUCAGAGUCCAGGGCCUACAGGUUUGGAGAAAGUGGUGGAAGGAACCAAUACUUAUUUGCUGAAUACCUACUCUGUGCCAGGCACUGGUGACUUCAUAAAGAGUACCUCCUUUCAUUCUCUGAAUAGCCCAUUAAUGACAAUAUGCUCUUUUUGGUUUAAGAUCGAUCUUCUCUGGGCACAGCGAGGUCGAGAACAUAUCAGACCUCACAUAACUUAUGAGUAGUGAAGCUGGGACUUGCACUCAAACAAUCUGAUCCUAAAGCUCAUACUUGAACACUGCCCUGUAUGUACAUCAUUUAACCCUUCCAACCCUGAGACCUAGGUACCAUUAUUAUCGGUUCUGUUUUCCAAACGAGAAACCGGAAGCUCAGGAAAGCACUCUUCCUAACAGACACUAAAUGCAGACCAGAAUUCUGUGAUCCUGGGCAUGUCACUUCAUCCAUCCCCCCAUUGUCUGUCCUUCAUUAUUAGUUCAACAGGCAGUGGCAAGUGUUUAUUCUGUCUGAGGGACCGUCUUGUCCCUAAAGAUGAAAAGAUGUAUAAAAUAUGGCCCCUGCUCUUCAAGAACCUGUAAUCCAGAGAGGGAGGAGAACGCCUCUACAAUAAGAAACACGGUUGUGGGGUGUGAGGCGCUCUAAGAGGUAUGCGUGAAGAGCUGUAGGAACCCAGAGGAGAAAGCAUCACGCUACCUGGUGAAGUAACCAAGGAAGGCUCUAGAGAGGAAGGGACGUUGUGCCCGUAACUCUACGCUCCCCAGAUAGAAAAGGGAGGGUGGUACUUGAAGCAGAGAGACCAUCAAAGGCAAAAAAGUAGUAUAGGAUAAGAACAGCUCAGAUGCUGAUGCCUUCCGAGGCAUUCACUACCAUCUCUAUAAUCUCCACAACAGCUCUGAAUGGGUAUUAUCAUUCAUGGGCACACAGAGGGCUUGCCUACGCACCUGUGAACUCAUAGGAACCUGUCCAUGAUCACGCAGCUAAUAAGGAAUCGAGCUGGGGUUCAAUCCCAGGCUGUCUGGCUUCGGAACCCACACCCUUAGCCACUCUGCUCAGAGUGUUUGGGGUCACCGGCCAGUAGCUGUUCAUGGGGUGUUAGAGGCAAUGGGACGGGCCACAUGAGCAGGAAGUAGGUCCAAAGUGUCUUCCUUUCUUCAUAAGGCCUUAGCUGUUCUUGAUCCAAAGACCCUGGACCUCUUGGGAUUCAUAAAAAUAAUAAUGCCAUUGGUGUGUGUGUGUGUGUGUGUGUGUGCCCAUGGGUAAGUGCAUGCUGGGGAGGGGCCUCCACCUCUCUCUGUAUGGAUGCUGUACAGAGGAACUGAUACAUCAACUUUACUUGCUGUUGACUGGAACGCUAUCUGCUUACUGUAGAAAUAUUGUGUGUCUUAUACUCUGUGGAAUUCUCUUGGCUUCAGUGUCAGUGUUUGAAUCCUUGUUCCUUUUCUGCACUUCCAUGCCCGACUGGAAAGCCCAGAAGGACAGAGCUCUUGUCCACCUUCUUUUCCACCAUCCCCUAUGACAUAGCAUAGAGCCUGGCACAUGCCAGUUAUUCAAUAAAUAUUCGUUGAGUGAAUGAUUAUUCGCUGAAUGAACUCUGGGUCUUUACAGUCUCCAUAUGUAGUGUGCAAAUGAGUUAAUUAUGAGUUACCAAAUCUAGUUUGGUCAAUAAAAUAUCUUUGGCUAGUCAAUCGAUGGUGUAGGAGGGAAAAGCAUGAGGGCCUUUCGAAGAUGGAAAAUGUAGAAAUUAUUGGCCUAGGUCAUUGGCUCAUAAAAGGAAGCUGCACUUUUGUAAAAGUUUGCCUUCAGGAUUAGAUAAAUCCAACAAGUUUGGAUUCAGUGUGUGUGAGGUGGUGCUUGGGCUUCCCAGGUGAUUCUGGAGGGACCAGGCCAGUAUGUGGGUAUGGCAGUGUGAAUCCCCUCCUGUUCUGUUUCUUUUUUCUUUUUCCCCGUCUCGUUCAACUUUCGCUUGAACACUUUGAGCCGUGGGAGCUAACUACCUCACAAAGCAGGCUGCCCCCACGGCAACAGCAACAACAGCAACGAGGACAUCGAUACAGUGACCCUAUAUACUGAGCACUCCUUACGUGUUAAGCACUACACCUAUGUUACCGAAUCCAAAGGCCAGGCGUUAUUUCUCCCCAUUUUACAGUGCAAGCAACUGAAACUGGAGUUCAGUGGUUUGUUCAGUGUCUCAGAGGUGGUGAGGGGCAGGGCCACCCUGGCUUGUCUGGCCAUGUGCUUCCCCAGGGCCCUGAGCUGGUCCCUGGUGGUGGUGGUGGAGGCGGGGGUGGGCCUAACUCCCGGGGAGGAGGCCGAGGGGAGCCUGCCACAUCCGCAGGCCCUGCCCAGGCUCCAGACUCUGCUCCGCCCAGCUCUCUGAUCCUCCCCAUAGAAGGUAAACCCAGGCAGGAUCCCAUGAGGCCUGGCCGGCCUGGUGUCUUGCUGGUUUCAGUUUCUGAAGAGCCCAGCCCUGAGCAAACACAGGCGGGGGAGGAGGGUUCUGGAAGCCUUCCCAACAGAUAGCAGAUUAACUCCCUGCUGCCUAGGAGACACCCACGGGGGAAGGGCUGGGUUACCAGCCUGCAGCCUCACAGCCCUCACAGGCGGGCAGGACGCCGCUGGCUUGCCGGGGCCACCUGAAGCCUGAGAAGGCGCACACCUACCUGCCAAGACGCCAUGACUUCUGGGCAGCUCAAGGUUCCAGUUCAAGCCAGGCUCUCCCUGGGACCUCUGGGCUUGGGGAGAAAAGGCUGAGGGGCCUCCCCAACCCCACCCUCCAAAUAUGGACUCAUCUUCCUGCCUCAGCGGGCCCCUUCCCUCCCUCACUAGGGCGUUCCUGUUCCAACGUGUUAGCAAACCCCUUCCAAUGUUUGUUUUCUUUCUGAGAAAGAGGCUGAGGGACUUUGCCAAGACCAACAUGAACUCAAAACACAGGGCAUUCUCUGUCUGUCGGGCAUUUUUCUGGACAGACAGACCUAGGUCUGAAAACUAGUCCUGCCACUUCCUAGCUGGUGACCUUUGUGUAAAUUUCUUAAUCUCUCUGAAAAAAUGGGGAUGAUGAUACUUAUCUUUAAGGUAUGUUUUGAGGAGUAGAUUAGAUAAAUAUAGAUUAUACAUAUUAAGUACUUAGUGCCCUCCAUCAAAGGCAAUUAACAUUAUCAUUAAUUAUAUUGUUAUUACGAAUGACUAAUAACCCACUCAGGAUUAUUGCUAAUGCUACUGCGAGCGUAAGUGUAAAAAAAAAAGACUCAAUUAAAAAUUUUUACUGAGGGAAAUAGUUUUAUAAUGGGUAAAUAAAGGAAGAAGAAUAACACAUGAUUUCAUUUAAUGUUCAAAUAGUUUCACAAGGCAGGGUUAUUAUCCCCAUUCUACAGAAGAAGCAGUUGAGGUCUCUGGAGGUUAAGUAACUUGCCCAUGUCGCACACCAAGUUAGUGGCUGGUGUCCUGGCCCUGGUGGUAUCCGCUAAGACCCUCCGCUUCAUACCUGCCUGCCUCAGCUGAGAUGCUUCCAUGUGCCAGGAAUGCCUUCGCAUCGCCCAUGCCCUCAUCAGCUUAGAGGACAACAAGCCAGCUCUGAAAACUGGCUAGAGGCCACCUCCUCCAGGCAGCUUUCCGAAUUCUCUCUUUCCUCUCCUUGCCGAACUAAACCCUCCCUCUUUUGUUCUCCUUGUGCCCGAGACACAUGACUAGACACUCUUGUGGCUUUGUGUCUCUUCUCCAGGGAAUGUGUUCCCCUAAGGGAGACAGCACACAUUUUUUUUUCACUUUGAGGGGGUCAGUAUGUGGUUAUAGUUAAGGAGCCAGGCGUUGAAGCAGGACUGCCCAGGCUCCCAUCUUGGCUUUGCUGCUUGCUGGCUGUGAGGCUUGAAUAAAUGAAUUUAACCUCUCUCAUUUUCAAUUCUUUCAUCCAUAAAAUGGAGAUUAACCAUGAGAUCAGCUGCAUGAGGUUACUGGAAGAAUUGAAUGAGUUCGUAUAUGGAAGGAAGGCAGGAUCGCUGAAGGUCCUGAGUUUUGCUUGCUAACAGAAAAGGAAACAAAAGAAUGGUACUGAACGUGAGGGAAGCACGAGGCCUCGUCAAGAAUCCAUCUGUAACUUAAGGCAUUGGGCCUCCUCACCAGGGAUCGCACUGCAUUCUGGGUAUUGCCUCACACCAGACCUGGACAUGACCUCUAUCAUUGAAGAGAAAAGCAACCAUGAUAUCCUGGCAUCUACAAAAGACGUCCAUUCAUGCAAACAUUCCCCACCUCAUCUGAUACGUAUUAUGAAGUGCUAUGCAUUAGAUCCUGUGCUCGGCACAGACAUGCACGUUCUUAUAAACUGUCCGUGGAAUCUGAGUUCAAACCUCAGCCUCUUUCAGUCCUAUUGAUUUGAUCUUGUGUGUGUUAGCCUCUGUUCCUCAGAUCCAGCUCCUUCUUUCUAAUUCCCUAUCUCAGCCAUGACAUCACCAUCAUCUUCCUGUCCCCGUUCAGAACCCUAGAAAUGAUUUUAUUCUCCUCACUAACCCUCUCUGUAAUGUCCAAUCAACCCCCAGUGAUGUGUGAUUUAACUCCUACAUAUCUCUUUGUCAUUAGCCUCACUCUAAUCCGUUCCACAGGUAUUCUUUGAGGAGUCUAUGUCCCAGGCUCUCUGCUGGACAUGAGGUUACCUGUCCCCAACGAGUUCUCAGACUGGUCCGGUACACCCACAAACACACAAUUCCCCUACAGCGAAUGGGUGUGAUGACACUAUAACCCCACUUUUAACUGCACACUUAAUCAUUGCCAAACACUGUUCUAUGCACUUUAAAUGCAUUGAAUAAUUUAAUCACAAUAACCCUCAGAGGUAGGUAACAUUAUUUUAUUUAUUUAUUUAUUUAAUUAUUUAUUUAUUUAUUUAUUUAUUUAUGUUUUAUAUCAGAGAAAGAGAGAGAAUGCGCCAGCUGGGGAGGCGGUGUGGAGAGACUUUCAAGCAGACUCCAGCCUGAUGCAGGGGUCAAUCCCACGAUCCUGGGAUCAUGACCUAAGCCCAAAUGAAGAGUCAGAUGCUCAACCAACUGAGCCACCCAGAUGGCCCUUAUUAUCUUUACUUCACAGAUAAGGAAACUGAGGCAACAGAGAGAAUAAGCAACUUGCCCAAGGUCACAUAGCUAGUUAGCAGUGGAGGCACCAUGCAGUGUCUCACAAGCUGACUUCAAAGCCAUUGCUGUUAACUGCCACUGAACUCUUCUUCUGUUUGAGGGAACGGGAGAGAGUUUUCAGGGUGCCUUAAGGAAAGCUUCUAGCUGGACUGAAGCGCCUUCUCUGAGCUGUUGUCUAUGCUGAAGCUUCCAUGUGAGCGGGGGCUCGCCAGAGCAAUUCUCCACGUUCCACAGCUACCACAGGCCCUCACCUUGACCAGCCUCUUCACUGGUCCCCUCCCUGUUAGUCCUUUCUCCCCACCUGUACCACAGUGAGCUUUCUAACCACAUUUGACCAUCUUACUACUCUUCUGCCUACGUUUCCAGGGGCACCUGGGUGGCUCAGUCGGUUAGGCAUUCGACUUCAACUCAGGUCAUAAUCUCACCAUUCCCGAGUU